rnacentral:rRNA from 1 species
GAUGAACGCUAGCGGCUGGCCUAACACAUGCAAGUCGAGGGGUAGCAGGAUUAAGCUUGCUUAAUUGCUGACGACCGGCGCACGGGUGCGUAACGCGUAUGCAACCUACCUUAUACUGGGGUAUAGCCCGGAGAAAUUCGGAUUAAUCCCCCAUGGUACUAAUGAAUCGCAUGGUUUAUUAGUUAAAGCAUUGCGGUAUAAGAUGGGCAUGCGUCCUAUUAGCUAGAUGGUGAGGUAACGGCUCACCAUGGCUACGAUAGGUAGGGGGCCUGAGAGGGUGGUACCCCACACUGGUACUGAGACACGGACCAGACUCCUACGGGAGGCAGCAGUGAGGAAUAUUGGUCAAUGGGCGCAAGCCUGAACCAGCCAUGCCGCGUGCAGGAAGAAUGCCCUAUGGGUUGUAAACUGCUUUUAUUUGGGAAUAAACCUCUUUACGUGUAGAGAGCUGAAGGUACCAAAUGAAUAAGCACCGGCUAACUCCGUGCCAGCAGCCGCGGUAA